AGGGCAUGCGGCGGAUGCCUUGGCACUAGGAGGCGAUGAAAGACGUGAAAGGCUGCGAUAAGCUUCGGGGAACUGCCUAAUGAGUUUUGAUCCGGAGAUUUCUGAAUGGGGAAACCCCACACUUUGGUGUGAUCAUAAAGUGAAUACAUAGCUUUAUGAGGCGAACGCAGGGAACUGAAACAUCUAAGUACCUGUAGGAAAAUAAAUCAACCGAGAUUCCGAAAGUAGCGGCGAGCGAAAUCGGACUAGCCUAAACCUAUUCCAUUUUUGGAUUAGGGGUUGCGGGGCGUACAUAAUGGACCUGGAUGGGUAAGGGAAACUUCUGGAAAGUUGUACCAUAGAGAGUGAUAGUCUCGUACCUGAAAUUCUGAAAGGCCUGUACUAACCCCAAGUAGGGCGGGACACGUGUUAUCCUGUCUGAAUCUGGGAGGACCAUCUUCCAAGGCUAAAUACUACCUNNUGACCGAUAGUGUAUAAGUACCGUGAGGGAAAGGUGAAAAGAACCCCGUUGAGGGGAGUGAAAUAGACCCUGAAACCGCAUGCCUACAAGCAGUCGGAGCGUAAGUGACGGCGUGCCUUUUGCAUGAGCUAGCGAGUUAAUGUAGCGUGCAAGAUUAAGGUAUUCAGUACCGUAGUCGUAGUGAGAGCGAGGCUUAAUAGGCCGACUAAGUACGUUGCAUUAGACCCGAAACCCGGUGAUCUAUCCAUGAGCAGGUUGAAGCUGAGGUAACACUUAGUGGAGGACCGAACCCGUUGAAGUUGAAAAUUCUUGGGAUGACUUGUGGAUCGGAGUGAAAGGCUAAUCAAACCGGGUGAUAGCUGGUUCUCCUCGAAAUAUAUUUAGGUAUAGCGUCUAGUGUUUCCUAACGGGGGUAAAGCACUGAUUGGGCUAGGGGUCCUACCAGAUUACCAAACCCACUCAAACUCUGAAUACCGUUACGGUUAAGCUAGGCAGUCAGUCAUAUGGUGAUAAGGUCGUAUGACGAAAGGGAAAGAGCCCAGACCAUCAGCUAAGGUCCCAAAGACUACACUAAGUGGAAAACGAUGUGGGAAUGCGUAGACAGCCAGGAGGUUGGCUUAGAAGCAGCCACCCUUUAAAGAAAGCGUAACAGCUCACUGGUCAAGUGUUCCUGCGCGGAAGAUUUAACGGGGCUUAAGUGUAGCACCGAAGCUAUGGACUCGAAAGAGUGGUAGAGGAGCAUUGUAGCAACCGCUGAAGGUGUCAGGUGACUGAUGCUGGAGGAACUACAAGCGCAUAUGCUAGCAUUAGUAGCGAUAAGGGAAGUGAGAANCUUNNNCGCCGNAANCCNAAGGUUUCCUGGGNNAGGNUNNUCCNCCCAGGGUUAGUCGGUACCUAAGGCGAGGCCGAANGGCGUAGUCGAUGGAUAACGGGUUAAUAUUCCCGUACUACUUUUAAAUCGUUAUUAGCGAUGGGGUGACGCAGGAGGAUAGAUCAGCUGCUUAUUGGAUUGUAGUCUAAGUAUGUAGGAGGAAGAAAUUGGCAAAUCCGUUUCUUCAUUACUCUGAGAUACGAAUGCGACCUGCUUGCAGGGAAGUGAUUGAUUCCACGCUGACAAGAAAAACCUCUAGUGAGAUUUAAGGGUAACCGUACUAAAACCAACACAGGUAGAUGGGUAGAGAAUACCAAGGCGCGCGGGAUAACUCUCGUUAAGGAACUCGGCAAAUUAGCCUCGUAACUUCGGGAUAAGAGGUGCCCCAUUAUUGUGAAAGCCAUUCGGCUGGAGCAUGAAGGGGUUGCAGUGAAAUGGCUCAAGCGACUGUUUACCAAAAACACAGGUCUCUGCUAAACCGUAAGGUGAUGUAUAGGGGCUGACGCCUGCCCAGUGCUGGAAGGUUAAAGGGAGGUGUUCGUUCUUCGGAACAAAGCAUUGAACUGAAGCCCCAGNUGAACGGCGGCCGUAACUAUAACGGUCCUAAGGUAGCGAAAUUCCUUGUCAGGUAAGUUCUGACCCGCACGAAAGGCGUAACGAAUUGAGCACUGUCUCAACGAGAGACCCGGUGAAAUUGAAGUGUCCGUGAAGAUACGGACUACCUAUAGCAAGACAGAAAGACCCCGUGGAGCUUUACUGUAACUUGGCUUUGGGCUUUGGAAUAAUUUGUGCAGGAUAGGUGGGAGACUUUGAAGCAUAAUCGUCAGAUUAUGUGGAGUCACUGGUGAGAUACCACCCUUAUUAUUUUGAAGUCCUAACUACGUCCCGUAAUCCGGGAAUAGGACAUAGCCUGGUGGGCAGUUUGACUGGGGCGGUCGCCUCCUAAAAGGUAACGGAGGCGCUCAAAGGUUCCCUCA
rnacentral:rRNA from 1 species